rnacentral:rRNA from 1 species
GACGAACGCUGGCGGCGUGCUUAGCACAUGCAAGUCGUACGGUAAGGCCCUUUCGGGGGUCCCCGAGUGGCGAACGGGUGCGUAACACGUGAGUAACCUGCCCACAACUUUGGGAUAACGCUAGGAAACUGGUGCUAAUACUGGAUAUGUGCUCCUGCUGCAUGGUGGGGGUUGGAAAGCUCCGGCGGUUGUGGAUGGACUCGCGGGCUAUCGGCUUGUUGGUGGGGUAGUGGCCUACCAAGGCGGCGACGGGUAGCCGGCCUGAGAGGGUGACCGGCCACAUUGGGACUGAGAUACGGCCCAGACGCCUACGGGAGGCAGCAGUGGGGAAUAUUGCACAAGGGGCGCAAGCCUGAUGCAGCAACGCCGCGUGCGGGAUGACGGCCUUCGGGUUGUAAACCGCUUUCAGCAGGGACGAAGCUUUUUGUGACGGUACCUGCAGAAGAAGCACCGGCUAACUACGUG